ensembl:lncRNA
ACGUCACUUGUUGAUGCUCCAUUCAUGAGGGUAAUGCCAUCUGUUGGGAAAACAUCGUACAACAGGACACAGAGUUAUCGUGAUUUGAUCAAACUUAGACAGAGAUGUUCAGAGGGAGAUGAUGCCACAUCUGGUCCAGCUGAUGGAAGGUCUUGAAGUUCUCUGACUGGCCUCUGACUGAAGAUGGUCGUCUCACUGGAUUUAAAGUUCAGAUGCUCAGUAACAAACUCCACCAAUGAGCCAACAGGGAAGCUUUAGGUUUAUUAAAUGUUACUAUGAAGGUUUCGCUGUUUUUCUUUGUGAAUGCAAUGUGCUCCAACUGAAACUUGAAUUAGAACUUAGAAGUAAAUCCUUCCAUCUGAAAGAAUUAGUUGCAUUAAUAACCUCAUAACAUUCUAAUUUUUAUUCCAGUCUUGGUUGGAAAUAGAAUCUCUGUAGUGAUUCAGGUAAAAAACUGAACUUCACAGGCAUGUUGGAGCAAAACAACCAGAUGAAAACUGUGAUGGUGUUGGAUUGUCAGACCGUAAUGUUGCAGCUCAAAGCAGCUUUUCUAUCUCAGUUCAUUCUGACAUUCAGCUAUGAAUCAACACAGCAGAUGGUGAUCCAUGCUGUGGAAGUCUCACAUCUCCUGAUUUAAUGGAGCUGCUUUGCAC